GACGAACGCUGGCGGCGUGCUUAACACAUGCAAGUCGAACGGUAAGGCCCUUCGGGGUACACGAGUGGCGAACGGGUGAGUAACACGUGGGUGAUCUGCCCUGCACUUCGGGAUAAGCCUGGGAAACUGGGUCUAAUACCGGAUAGGACCACUGCCUGCAUGGGUGGUGGUGGAAAGCUUUUGCGGUGUGGGAUGGGCCCGCGGCCUAUCAGCUUGUUGGUGGGGUGAUGGCCUACCAAGGCGACGACGGGUAGCCGGCCUGAGAGGGUGACCGGCCACACGGGGACUGCGGUACGGCCCAGACUCAUACGGGAGGCAGCAGUGGGGAAUAUUGCACAAUGGGCGCAAGCCUGAUGCAGCGACGCCGCGUGAGGGAUGACGGCCUUCGGGUUGUAAACCUCUUUCAGCACCGACAAAGCGCAAGUGACGGUAGGUGCAGAAGAAGGACCGGCCAACUACGUGCCAGCAGCCGCCGUAA
rnacentral:rRNA from 1 species